UGCAUGUCUCAGUACUUGCUAUAACAAGGCGAAACCGCGAAUGGCUCAUUAAAUCAGUUAUGGUUCACUAGAUCGUACAGUUUACACGGAUAACUGUGGUAAUUCUAGAGCUAAUACGUGCAAUCAGCUCGCUUCCUUGUGAAGCGAGCGCAGUUAUUAGAACAAGACCAAUCCGGCCUUCGGGUCGGUACAAUUGGUGACUCUGAAUAACCGAAGCGGAGCGCAUGGUCUCGUACCGGCGCCAGAUCUUUCAAGUGUCUGACUUAUCAGCUUGUUGUUAGGUUAUGUUCCUAACAAGGCGUUUACGGGUAACGGGGUAUCAGGGUCCGAUACCGGAGAGGGAGCCUGAGAAACGGCUACCACAUCUAAGGAAGGCAGCAGGCGCGCAAAUUACCCACUCCCGGCACGGGGAGGUAGUGACGAAAAAUAACGAUGCGAGAGCUAUAAAGUUUCUCGUAAUCGGAAUGGGUACACUUUAAAUCCUUUAACGAGGAUCUAUUGGAGGGCAAGUCUGGUGCCAGCAGCCGCGGUAAUUCCAGCUCCAAUAGCGUAUAUUAAAGUUGCUGCGGUUAAAAAGCUCGUAGUUGGAUCUGGGUAGCUGGACGGAUGGUAUGCUUUACUGUGUUACUGUCUGUUCGGCACCACAAGCCGGUCAUGUCUUGCAUGCUCUUCACUGAGUGUGCUUGGCGGCCGGAACGUUUACUUUGAAAAAAUUAGAGUGCUCAAAGCAGGCGUACGGCCUUGCAUAAUGGUGCAUGGAAUAAUGGAAUAGGACCUCGGUUCUAUUUUGUUGGUUUUCGGAACUCGAGGUAAUGAUUAAUAGGAACAGACGGGGGCAUUCGUAUUGCGGCGUUAGAGGUGAAAUUCUUGGAUCGUCGCAAGACGAACUA
rnacentral:rRNA from 1 species